ACGGGAGGCAGCAGUGGGGAAUAUUGGGCAAUGGGGGAAACCCUGACCCAGCAACGCCGCGUGAAGGAAGAAGGCUUUCGGGUUGUAAACUUCUUUUACCAGGGACGAAGGACGUGACGGUACCUGGAGAAAAAGCCACGGCUAACUACGUGCCAGCAGCCGCGGUAAUACGUAGGUGGCAAGCGUUAUCCGGAUUUACUGGGUGUAAAGGGCGCGUAGGCGGGGAUGCAAGUCAGAUGUGAAAUCCAUGGGCUCAACCCAUGAACUGCAUUUGAAACUGUAUCUCUUGAGUGCUGGAGAGGUAGAUGGAAUUCCUAGUGUAGCGGUGAAAUGCGUAGAUAUUAGGAAGAACACCAGUGGCGAAGGCGAUCUACUGGACAGUAACUGACGCUGAGGCGCGAAAGCGUGGGGAGCAAACAGGAUUAGAUACCCUGGUA
rnacentral:rRNA from 1 species